rnacentral:rRNA from 1 species
AUGAAGGGCGGUAGGAAGAACCUGCGGCGCGCGUGCGGGGAGGGCACCGCGGUGACGCUGGCGGAGGGCGAGAGCAUCAUGCAGGUCGUCACGCUACGCGGCUCAAACCUCAUCGAGGUGACCGACGGCGAGGGCGUCAAGUCUCACAAGAGCUUCUGGAUCAAGAACGGGAAUUUCGUGGUUGUGGAUGCUAUUGGCAGGGACGAGGCUCUCGAAUCUGGAAGCAAGAUAGCCUGUGUCGUCUCACGCGUCCUCUUUCACGACCAGGUUCGCGCCCUCGAGAAAUCCGGCCAAUGGCCGGCUAUCUUCAAGUCAAGUCCCAAUGGGUGGGCGACAGGGCCACAAGGAACGACAUCACAGGCUGAGGAAGAGCACAACUCUGAUGAAGACGACGAUGAUCAUAUGCCGCCACUUGAGGCAAACACGAACAGAAAUAGACCGUUUGACGUGCAUUCCGAUACAGAAAGUGACUCUGAUUCUUGA